UGGACGAGAGAAUGUCAACACUGAUGCCCUCUCCCGUCACGCCAUUCAGUGCCAUCUCCAGCAACCCACAGCCACCACUACGGCACGCCUGAUGACAUCUGCCAUUGUAAACGAAUCCUCCACCACCUGGUUCUUCUCUGAGCCUGUCAAAGAAAUGAUGAGUAAGUCCUGAGCUCAGCAGCCUGUGACGCACAUCUGUGUGAAGACAUCAAACCCCUUUACAGAGAAAGUUUCUUCUCCAAUGAAAGGGAAGAGUAGAAACUCAUUGAAAGGAUUUAAAUUCACCAACCAGCUGCAGAUUUCUGCUGCAGGAUCCUCUCUUCUGGUUCGGGGUCAGCCUCUUGUUUCCUCUUUUC